CAGCAGCCGCGGGAAAACGGGGGGGGCAAGCGUUACUCGGAAUCACUGGGCGUAAAGGACGCGUAGGCGGAUUAUCAAGUCUCUUGUGAAAUCUAACGGCUUAACCGUUAAACUGCUUGGGAAACUGAUAAUCUAGAGUAAGGGAGAGGCAGAUGGAAUUCUUGGUGUAGGGGUAAAAUCCGUAGAGAUCAAGAAGAAUACCUAUUGCGAAGGCGAUCUGCUGGAACUUAACUGACGCUAAUGCGCGAAAGCGCGGGGAGCAAACAGGAUUAGAUACCCGCGUAGUCCCUGUCUCUUAUAC
rnacentral:rRNA from 1 species